rnacentral:rRNA from 1 species
GAUACCCUAUUAUUAAAAAUGUAAGUUUGGUGUCCUUAUUAGUAUUAGUUAUGUUCUUAAAAGUAAAAGAAUUUGGCGGUAUUGUAGUCCAUUCAGAGGAACCUGUUCUGUAAUUGAUAUUCCACGAUAAGUUUUACCUUUUCUUUUAGUUUGUAUAUCGUCGUAGUUUGAACAUUUUAUUAGAAUAGUAAUGUUCAUAAUUCUUUUUAUGAAAAAAAUCAGAUCAAGGUGUAGCUUAUGAAGGGGGAGAGAUGGGUUACAUAAAAUGUAUUUUGGGAUUUUAAUUUUAAAGAUUUAAAUGAACUUGGAUUUGAUAGUAAUUUUAAUUAUUUUAUUAAAAUGAUUCUGGCUCUAUAAUAUGCACAUAUCG